rnacentral:lncRNA from 1 species
GUUGCAAUGGAUCACUUUCUCUGUCCUGAGGGCUGAAACAAUGUUUGAAAUUGCAGCAAAUUGGGAUCCCAGGGCCACAUCCAUCUUCUUCUGCAGAGACUCCUACUCUUCCUUGGAAUUCCUUGGGGGGUCUUCCAUUUGUUGAACGUUACAAACGUAAGGUACAUAAAAGCUCUUCUCUGCCUGAGUUCCCCAGCCCAGCAGCCUUGGGGAGCUUCUGUUGUUUGUUUGCACUUGAUACUCCCAAUUUUAAAAUUUAUUGCCACUCAAAGGGGAAGGUCCCAGGCACAAAUGACAUGGGAUAUAGAGGUAAUUAUGUGACUGUCCCUUGGGCUAGUGAGGUGAUGUUAUGAAGUGGGUAGUGAGGAUGUGGUCUAGCCUAAAUGACCAAGACCCCUUCCCCAGGUCCUCACCUUGGUUCUAACAGGGGAUGUUCUGGACUGGAGAGAGGACAUGAUUCAUUAGUAGUAUAUGGCUGGUUAGCCACAGGUUUAGAAACCUCUUCUCUGAACUCCUGCCCCAUCCACACUUUGGCUUCCCACCACAUCCUUUCUGUCAGCUGAAUGAGUGCAUCAAAAGUCUGGAAAGUGAUGCUCUAACUCUACCUUUCCCCCAAGUAAACACCAAAGGAAAACACUCGACCUGAUAGAGCACUGGUCACCAGAUAGCCUGGCAGUGCCCCUGGCCUGAGGGAGCAGGAUGUAUGUUGUGCUGAUUGACGUGACCCUCCCCCAAGGUCUGGAGAGUUUUAUGGUCAGGUGGGAGCAGAGCACCAUGGGAAUCCCUUCAAUCACGCAAAUCAACGCCCCAAUUAAGAACUUUCUUUUGUACCUAGAGUCCCAGCAUUCUCAAGCCUGGUCAGCUGUUUAAAUGACCAGGUUUUACCUGUAAUUCUUAAAGUGCAUAUUCACCCAACUAAUGUAAUAACUUGGAUUCUGCAAAUGGAAUUUCCCCCAGAUGUGUAAGUGGCUCUAAGUAGUUUAAAAAGUUUUAAAAGCUCAGUCAGUACUUUAUCCAGAGCCUGUUGAUCAUUAAUAGAAGUUCUACAGAAUGGAAGUCAGCAGAGAGGGCCAUUAAAUGCAGAUGGGCCAGUUACUGGCCGGCAGUCUGCUGCUGUCCCUGUCAUUCUGCACGAUUGCUGUCCCUCUGCCAGCUCCAAGGUGCUUUGAGAAGGCUGACAGGCACUGCUGAUUUUUUUUUGGUGCUGUUUCAGGGAAGGGAGAGACUCCAAGCCACGUCUUUAUAUCAAAAAUGGCACAUGAGGUUGAGAUUCUGCUUGAUUAUUCAGAAAAUUAAUCCUGGCCUGUAUUUGUUCCUUGAAAUGAACUCCGGGUUCUGAGUUAAUCUUUGUCUCUUCACUGGGUUUCUGGAAAUAGUCACCCACCCACCCCUGUGGCUUUCCUGGUUUCAUAAAUGCAAUUUCAUGAUGAAAAUUUGAAAAUAAUGUGAAGGUGGUUGAUUGCCAGGGAAGGCGGUUGCCUCUGCCUCUCGGAGACACAUUGAUAAAACAUCAGUGAGCUUUUUCAUUUACACAAGCAGAGAGAAAGAUGCACAUGUAAAGAAAAUGAUAGAAUGUCAGAUACGUAAUAUAAAAUCAUCAUACCAUAAUUAUAUUAAAAUAUAUGGUUUAAAUUUACAUACAUUUAAUACAGAUGAUGCCUAUUUUAUUUACAUAUUAUUAGGAAAACCUGGCUCUAUAUUUUAGGAAAUUGAACGUUAACUUCAAAAAGGCCUGUAAUGUUUUCACCUACGUGAUACUUCAGAAAGUUAAUUUUCUCCACAGACUGUGUAAUUUUAACAAGAAUAGCCUAACGUGAUUCCGAUGCUCACAAACAACUUCCAUGUACUGAAAAUUGGGUCUGAAAUAGGAUUCUGGGUUGUCAUUUUCAUAUAUAGGAUUAUAUUUUGUGCAUAUAGUUCCAUUUUUAAUAAUUUUUAAGUCUGAAAUUAAUUUAAAAACUCCAAUGAUUUUUUUUUUUUUUAAGGAUAAAGACAUUGCUUGUCUUGAUCAGAUUGCCUCUUGCUCUCUGUAAAAUUCCCUCAGGGCCUCAUCCAGGGGUAGCAUCUUUUCGGCAGCCACAUCCCCAUUACUCUGUUAAUGCAUUUUGUAAAGAAAACAAGAAGAACCAUAUAGAUCUGCUAUAGGCUGGAAGUUGUCAUCUACAAGCCCUUAAUGGUCUGGCAAGUCAUAUCUUGUUUCUGAAAAUAUCAUAAUUAUUUCUCCCCAAAUGUCAAGAGCUUGUUUGUUUAUACCCUCAAGAUUUUAUAAGAAUUAAAUACUUCCUUCUGAGGGUGUGGUUGAGAGCGCUGGAAUGCUAGGAUUGGAGAUGACUGAGGAUGCUGUUCCUCAUGGUCAAGGGCAGGAUUGAUAGACCCACCUGUCAGUCAUUACUACCAAUGAAACAAGGAUUAAUUAAGUAAAAAUAAGGUUUGAGGAAGACAACAUUUCUAUGGGAUUAAUUUCUCAGUCUUUACCUUAAUCAUAUGCCUCUAUUUAAGUGACUAUAUGAAACAGAGUGGCCAGCUCAGAGGGUCAGUAAAAUAUACAUUGGUUUUUUUCCCCUUUUCUCUCCUUCAAAAUUUCUUGGAUGGUCUUGUCUCAGGAUGAUUAUAUUUCUUUGCAGGAUCUGGGCAUGCGUACUGUUGGAUGCAUCGCCUCAAACUAUAUCAAACACACUUAUAUAUUAUGUACAUAUUUUAUGUACCCACUUCCCACAUUAAAUCAAAUUUAUACUUGAUUAUAGAAGACUUGACUUGAAUUAUAGUUGACUAUUCGGUAUAACUUUUGUAGAUAUUUAAACAUUUAUUUUUUUCAGUAAUUUUCCCCUUUUCACAUUUUAGAGGUUUAUUUAUUUAUUUUAGGUCUCAAAUGUUUCCUUUGGAGAGCCUGUGCAGGCUAGGUGCUGAGCCUAGAGGACUUUCCUUCUUGCCUCUCUGAGAAGAGAAAAGUCAUCCACACUCACCAGAGCCAGUCCCCUCGCUGUGCCUUAGCACUAGCCCUGGUGCCCAUUAUCAAGUGUCUGGAGAAUGCCCCACGCCUGACCACAUGACUAGGGGGUGACAGAAAUGGAGAGUGAGGAUCCCUGUAAUAAAACGUGGGUCCAAGCAUCUCAGACAGGGAACAGUAAUGGCAAAGACACAGCUUUCUCUAGGCUUCUGACCUUUAAAGUAACUCUACCUUCUCAUUUUCAAAGGCUUUAGAGAUGCUCAUGAUUAAUUUUAGGUGUCAACUUGACUGGGCUAAGGAAUACCCCCAUAGCUGUAAAUACCCAUGUUAUUUUUUGGUAUGUCUAUGAGGGUGUUUCUGGAAGAGACUGGCAUUUGAAUCAGGAGAGUGAGUAAGGAAAGUCCACUCUUGCCCAGUGUAAGGGUCCACAAACCACUUGGUUAAGAGACUGAAUAGAAUAAUAAAGAGGAGUAAAGGUGUGUCUUCCUUACUCCUCUGGUGCUGGGUCCUUUUCUCCUGCAUCUGGACAUCAGAACUGCAGGAUCUCCAGCCUUUGGAUUCCAGGACUUGCACUCGAGGCCCCUCAGGUUCUCAGGCCUUAGGUCUUGGGCUGAGCCAAUACCAGACUCCCUGUUUCUCCAGAUUGCAAAUGACAUAUUGUGGGACUUCUCAACCUCCACCAUCACAAGAGCCGAUGAGCCGAAUCCCCUGAGAAGCCCCUUCCCAUACAUCUGUAUCCAGAUCGUCUGUAUCCGUUCUCUCCUCAUCUGUCUUCUAUUGGUUCCGUUUUUUUGGAGAACCCUGAUGAAUACAGAGGAAAAGACUUGGACCAAUUUUAUUUCCUUCUUACCUUUCCAAUUGUUCUUUCUCUGCAUGUUAUUUUACUCCUAACUCCAUGGAAUUAGAUGUUGUCCUUCAGAGUCUGUCCACACCUCCUUCUUUUCUCUUUCUGUUCUUGUUUAGCAAUCUCAAGCUUUCUCAAGGCGCUUCCCUCUUACUGUAUGUAGAAAUCCAUGCUUCUCAGUUUCCAGGACCAAGCUUUCUUCUUUCUGUUUCCAUUUGGCAUAAUGAACAUUUCCAGGCAUCCUAAAAUAAAUCUACCUUUUCUUCCAGAAAACUCUACCCUUUGUUCCAUGUUCCUUAUUUAGGCUACCACAGAAGAGUUACCAGGCAUUGGGAUUUACAGCUUCAGCGUCAUCCUUGCCUUCCCUCUGCCCUGGCCUGUUAGACCUUGCCCCCAGCCUUGAUCCUCUCUUGGCUUUGCUCCAUCCUCAGCCCCUCCCCUUCCCACCCCCACUCCAUCCUCAGCCCCUCCCCUCCCCAUCCCCCACUCCAUCCUCAGCUCCUCCCCUUCCCAUGCCCCACUUCUGCAUUCAUUCUCUUCUCACCUGGAUCAUUGAAACAGCCACCUAACUGGUCUCUCUGCCUCUGUUCGUACCAGCAAAGGCCACACACUUUAAAUUCAAAGUGCCCACUUGAGUCGGUAGCAUUUCUCCACUAAGGAGGCCAGUGACUCCUUCAUCUAACCCAUAGGGUUCUCACGUUUAUUUGCGGCCUCUACUACCCACUUUUCCGAAGUUAAAGCAAAUGCUCACUUUUAUAUACGCUUUGCCCAUCACAAGGGAUUCGUUUGCGGCUUCCCACGGGUCCCUACACCUUUGUCUCCAUCAUUUUUUACUACAAGCCCUUGCUUCCCACAUGGAAAUGUGGCCUCGCCCUAAGCUUCAUCCCGAAGGCUCUCUCCUCUCAGAGGCUCCCCUCAGGCAGGGCUUUCCUCGGCUCCAUUCAUCCAUGCCCCCUCCACUCCACAUCUUAUGGAAAGGGAAUUCUCCCUCUUGUGAAUCCACUCUUAAUUUUUUAAUUAACUAACUUUUCUGUUUAUAAUCCCAUGACAUUUCCUCCGUAGCUCCUAGGGUAAUUAUAGCACUUUGCAUUGAUUCUGGAGAUGUCCCUCCAUAAAUAUUUGGUGGAUGGAUGAGUGCAGAACUUUAUAGAUUUUCUUCCUCUAACAAGUCUGCCUUCAUAUCUCCAAGUCAAUUGAAAGAAUAUUAUACGUGGAGUGAAUUGAUGUUUGCUUGCAACAAGUUAUUUUAAAGGAUAAUUUGAAAGGGUGCUUAUUUCUGCUGUGGAAUUGCAAUUCUUUAUAUAACUAUGAAAAAGAGAAAUUAAGCUGGUGAUGGGAUGGUUUUUAUGAUAUCCUCUUUACAGAAUAUUUGAAUCAAAAAUGUGUAUGAUAAGGCAAAGAGCAAGCCAAGGACAAUUACCAGCAGUAACAACAAUAAUAAUUUAACAAUCAUUUUUUAUUGAGAACCAUAUAUGUGCCAGACACUGUUCCACAUAUGUACACAGCAUGUCUACCCUUAAGGUCUUAUAGAUUUGCAAACUGAGACUCAAGAGAGAUUAACUUAAUUAUCUAAGAAAAGCUUAAUAUUUAAAAUCCAUGCUUAGGUUUCAUUUUUCUGGAUCAGAAUCUACUCCCUAAAGUAUUUCUAGUUAAAACUCAAGUGUCUCCAGGAAACUCCCUUCACCCUCAUUAAGCCUGUUCUGCUUUGGGCUAGUCUGUGGUUUGCCUCUGCUGUGCUAGAGGGAAGUCGUGACUUUGUGGCAGCCGUGACCAGAGGUCUGAAGGGAUGAAGUUAUCAGUGCAGGAUCCUUCAGGGCUUGUCCUCGAGGUGGUUCACCUCAGGGUAUGGUCCAGCAAUUCCAGCAUCUGGGUGUGCAUUUACCCAGCUCUGCCUGAGCUGUGUGCCCAGGGCACAGCACUGUGCACCCGGCUCAACUUUUUCCUCUUAAUACUUAUUGACAUAAUUUGACUUAAAACAAUAAGUCUUAGAAACCUGACCAUUGUUCGCCAAAAUGACUCUGUUAGGAUAGGGAAACCCCAACCACAAGUGCCACUCUUUGGAGCUGCGGGAGGUUACCAUGUAUUACAUAAGCUUCCUCCAGGGACUUUGCAUAGGCAACGUAGUGAGAAUAGAGUGUGGGUUGGAAUCUUGGCUCCAGUGCUUAGGAGCUGUGUGGCUUUUCAAUGUGUCAGUUCCCCAGUUUGUGUAACAUAACAGGUGGUGGAAAGGGCAGGGAGAGAAGAUAACCCCUGUUCUAAAAGGUGUCAAGAGGGUUGGAGCCAACAUAUGUCCCUGGUAUGGAUGAAGUGCCCAACAAGUGGUAGUUGUUGUUAUCGUCCAUGUGACAGGACACUCCCAGCAUUUAGCAGAAGGAAGUGUCCUGUUAGAGUUUCCUAUGGCUCCUGUAACAAAGUACCACAAACUAGGUGGCUUCAAAGAGCACAGCUGGUCCUUGCACAGUUCUAGAGGCCUGAGUCUGGAAUCAAAGUGUUGGCUGGCAGGGCUGUGCGUCCUCUGGAGGCUUGCCGGGGAAUCCGGUUCUUUGCCUCUUUGAACUCCCACAGCUGCUGGCAUUCCUUGACUUAUGCCCACAUCACUUCGGUCUGUGCCCAGGAUCACACUGUUUCCUCUUCUAUGUUUUCCUCUGCCUCCCUCUCAUAAGGCCACUAGUCAUUGAAUCCAGGACCAACUGGGAUAACCCAGAAUGAUCUCAUUCAACAUUAACUUAAUUAUAUCUGCAAAGACCCUUUUCCAAAAUCAGAUAGCAUCCUCAGGUUCUGAGGAUUAGGAUGUGAAUAUAUUGGACUUACCCUGAAGGACUGGGUAAGUUUUUGUGUGUGUUUGUGUGCAGGUGAACCCUGUGUGGUUUAGAGGGCUCCUGAUGGGGAGUUGCAGUGUUGCCAUUGACAGCCAGGGGGCAGCACAAGAGGCAAAAACAGAUGCUGAGGGUGAGGAGAGAGGCUGAGGCACCCAGAGGAAGCCUGGAAUGACCAGAGAGGCAGGGAGCCGUGGUUUGGGGACAGCUGGGCUCCACGUGUGGUCUUGCCCCAAUUCACAGUAUAACAGAGGACAGGUCAUUUCUUUAUAGGCCUGUUGCCUCACUAUAAGGAAGGUUAGACCAAGUUAGAGGUUUUUAAAUUAAUUUCUUGCAAGGUGAAUGCAACCUACCCAAGUGUUUUAUUUGUAUGAUUUAAAAAUUCAAAACAAAAAUUGGUAAACAUCAUGUAAAAAUUAGAUAGUGAACCCUGAUAAUCAGCUGUGGCAGCCUCUGGACACCCAGGCUCUUGCGUGGACAUGGUGUAAGGGGUGGCCCCAUGUAGGCCAGGCACGAACCCUCUGAGUCACCACCCCUCCCACCUGGCCUUCUUGCCUCUGGCCUCAUCCUCAUCCUCUCCCACUGCAGGCUCCCUGGUGACAGGGAAUUCUUUGCUGCGUCCAGGUUCCUAUCAACAGUGAGAUUCAGGUGAGGGAUUUUUUGCUUCCCCCUGUUGGGUUCACUCACUCCACGGUCUGCCUGAGCUCUCUGGAGUUUGGCUUUGUGAUCCUGAGUCGGAGGAUGGAGAUGGCUGCUCAUCUCUGAGGCCAAUGACCUCGGUGCCAGAGGAAAGCCCUGGGGUGCUGGAGACAGAGCUGCUCGUCUGUGAAAGCUGUUCUGAUUCCAUCCAGGCACAGGAGCUGCUCUGUCUGGAGACCUGUACUUCUCAGUUCAUAGAGUGAGGUUCUGGUCACUCCUUUCCCCCGUUUCCUGAGUCCUCAGAUCCCUGCCCAUCUCUGCUCACUUUUCCGCUCUCCUGCCACUGAGGCCCUCCCAGCAGGGUUUUGGUAGCAUCCUCCCACACACUGUGACAGCAGCCUCCUUCCUGGGGCCUGUCCUGCUCUCCACUGCAGGAUCCCGGGUGAGUUCUGGAGAGCAUUUUCAGAGCCUUGAUGGCAAUGAGAGAGGACUGGGGGACCUAGGCUGCAUGUGUCUUCAAUCUGGUCCCUUCAUGAGGUUCUAGCUAAAUGUUACAAUUGUGAUCCUGUAGUGAUGGACCAGCUGAGGAGACAGUCUCUCAUUGGGCACCUCCUAUGACUCAGGAGAGUGCCUUGUGUCCAGUUGUUGUGAGGGCUGAGGCUGCCUGGUCACCCUGUGGGGAAGCUGCCCACACCCAUCCCCCAGUCUCCUUGUACUUGUACUUCCCCAGGAUUCCCCCAGAGAAGGUGGAGAGCCGUCCCCUCCCACCUCUCCACCUGCCUCCCCAGCCGGGGCCCACGCACUCACCUGGAAAGCUGGGUUCUGAUACUGACAGCUGAAUUAGCAAGGCGAGGACAAGCACAAGGCUCUCACAGGGAGAAGCCACUGCUUGUGGUUUUAUUUUUAUUUAGUUCUUGAUGUUCCUGAACUUUAUUAUCAAAUAUCAAGCUAAGAAAGUUUUAAAAACUAUAAAAACAACUGAAAGGCUUUCUCUCUUUUGAGUCUUUAACAAUGUGGAGUUUGAGUCGGUGGCAGCUGUGGGAUCUCCUUGGUGCCUUGGUUCUGGGGCAACAGUGUGGCCAUAAUGCCAGGGAGGGAGCCCAGAUCAGUGGAGAAGGACGCUCAGCUCAGAGGCAGGAUGGAGGGAAUGUUCCAUCCACAGGAAGGCAAAGGGAGGGGCAGGGAGAGCCACUGAGGCAGGAAAUGAUCUUCCUGCCAGUGUCACCUGGGACUGAGGACCUUCCUAAGGCUCUUUGCAGCCUCUGAGGACAGAAACUCUUUCUUAAAGACUCAUGUGGAUUCUUCGCCAGGGUAUGCUCAUUUCAGCUUAUGCCCUAUUACCCGCCUGCAUUUUUCGCUAUUGUGUGUGAAUGGUACCACUAUUAACCCAGUUGCUCCAGCCAGAAGCUCAGACGCCCUGAGCCCAGCUCUCUCCCUCAUUCUCUGCCUUCUUAGGUCAUUUCUGUCUUUAGGUCAUUUCUGAGUGUUGGCUCCACCCCUGGCUCUCCUCCUCCAGGCCCUGCCGCUUCACUGCGGAGCCAGCCUGAUCCAUCUCUGCUGCUAGCCUUUCCCCUCCUCAUCUCUACUCUGCCACAUUGGCCAAUUUAAUCACAUUACUAAUCUGCCUGAAAUCUUUUUAAAAGACCUCCCAGACUCCUGCAGAACAAGAUUCCAUUUCUUUUCCAGUACAAAGUUCCAGUGUUCUGGCCUCAUCUCUCCUACACUUUGAUUUACACAGCAGCUCCUCUUAUAUACAAUUUUGCUUCAUGUACUUUCAGUUAUCUGCCAUCAAACAUGGUCUGAAAGUAUUCAUGAAAAAUUCCAGAAAUAAGCAUUUCAUGAGUUUUAAGUUGCCCCUUUGCCCAGUGUUAAAAAAUCAUGCAUCAUCCUACUCUGUCCUAUCCAGGAAGUGAAUCAUCCUUUUGUCCACAGUAUCCAUACUGUGUAUGCCACCUGCCCUGUAGAAUUUGAGAGAGAGACCACAUUCACAUGAUUAUUAUUACAGUAUAUCAUGGCAGUCAUUCUAUUAUUAGGUAUUAUUAUUAAUCUAUUACUGUGUCUAAUUUAUAAAUUAAAAUUUAUCAUAGCUAUGAAUAUACAAGGGAAAAAACAGUGCAGUUAGCUGUCCAUAUCUGUGGGUUCUGCAUGUGUAGAUUCAGCCAACGGAAUAUUUAAAAGAUUGUUAAAAUUUUAUAUCUGUACUGAAUAUGUACAGAAUAUGUUUCUCCUCAUUACUCCCUAAACAAUACAGUGUAAAAACUAUUUACAUAGCACUUACAUUGUAUUAGGUAUUAUAAGAAAUCUAGAGAUCAUGUAAAGGAUGUCAGUAGGUUAUAAGCAAAUGCUACACCAUUUUAUACAUAUGUAUAUAAAACAUUUGAGCAUCUGUGUAUUUUGGUAUUCUCUGAGGGGAGCCUGGAGCCAACCUCCUCAAUACCAAGGGACAGCUCUAUGUAGAGUUUGGCACUACACUUGGAUUCAGAGCAUAACCCCAGGGAUCAGGGGACUUCUGAACCCAAAACUCCAGGCACCCUGGAUAUUGCAGGUCCUUGGAGGUGCCAUACUGAUCCUCACUGGGCUGUCACACUCUGCAUGGAUCACCCUUCCUUCACUCCCACCUGUUUAUGCUGGGAAGACUCCAAACAUCUACUUUCUGUGAAGUCUCCUGAGGGGCUGGCCGCUGGCAGCCCCUUCCCAUGUCUCUCCCGUGGGCUUCCGCUGCCCCUCGCCUUGCUUUAACUGUUUGCAGGCACAUUGGAUCCUACUCCUGAUGGGGAAUUGGAGAAAGGCCCUAGACCUUAUUUAUGCUCUUCUCUCUCACGGGUAGCAGAUCACCUGGAGCACAGCAGGCUUUCACUAAAUGCACUCGUUCACAAAACAAGUGUUUCCAAAUUGUGUGUCCUUCUUCGGGCUCUAAUUAAGGUCCUGGAGAUGUACCAGUGAAAAGUAUGGGUCCAGACCCUUUGCCCAGGGAGAGUACCUAGAGGCUGAGGAGCCAGAGGAUAAAUCAGAGAAAAGGUAAGAGCAUAUAUCAUGUUUGACACUGUCGAGUGCCAAGGAGAAAAAUCUAACCCAGAGGAAGGAUCUGAAAGAAUCCUGCAUCCGUUGAACAAGCUUGUUAUGGUUUAGAUAUACUAGUUGCCCCCCAAAAGCUCAUGUUUGAGACAGUACAAAGAAGUGUGGAAAUGAAAUGAUUGGGUUAGGAGAGCCUUAACCUAAUCAGUGCACUAACUGGGUGGUGACUAUAGGCAGGUAGGGGUGGCUGGAGGAGGUGGGACCCUGGUGGCAUGCCUUUGGGGUAUACAUUUUGUCCCUCUCUGCUUCCUGAUGCCAUGUCCUGAGCUGCUUUCCUCCACCAUGCCCUUCCACCAUGAUGUCUGCCUCACCUCAAGCCCAGAGCUAUGGUGCCAACCAUCUAUGAACUGAGAUCUCUGAAACAAUGAGCCAAAAUAAACGUGUCCUCCUCUACGUUAUUCUUGUCAGAUGUUUUGAUCCCAGCAGUGAAAAGGCUAAAACAGAACCAUUCCUUCUCCCAAGGGAUUUUAUGAACUCCCAGGACAAAUAGGAAAAUGGGGAUAUACUUGGGAUGAAUAAAUUCAAGAGAAAGCAAGGCAUCUGGCUACUACACAUUAAUAUCUUUUUUAAAAUUUGGUUUUGACCCUCCAGUGAUUGGACUUAAUAGGAGCCUGUGGUCUGAGCGAUCCCUGAAUAUUAGCAAGUAGACCUGCGUUGCUCCCCAGCUCUAGGGCUCGGGCUUGCUGGGCUGGGUUCCUCUCAGCCCUGGAGCCUCCUCAUGGCUGCCUGGCUCCUCCCCUGCCCAAGUAUCUACUGGGUGGUGGAGCAGGUGCUCAGGCAUCUUGGCUUGUGUCAGGGUUCUUCCAGCCUCACAAACACAUGUACACACACACACACCUUUUCACAAAAGAUCUGCAGCCCCUGCCAUGGAGCCUGGAGGGGGUUGUGCACUUUGUGUCAGCUCUGGAGAAGGACCGUAAACUCUGCCCCACCACUGACUCAGCCCUUGGGACCCCCUUCCCUCAGCACGUGGCAUGCUCGCUGUCCUGGGUGAGCCCUCAGGAAGCCACCUUCGGGUGGUUUUCAAAUGCAUCGUUGUCUGGGAACUCAGCGCGCCUCCCCCUGCCAUUCAAAUGUCUGUGUGGGUGACCACUGUGGCUGAAUUGUAGCCCCCCAUUAGCACACUGAAGUCCCCACCCCCUGUACCUCAGAAGGGAACUGUAUUUGGAGACAGAGUCUUUAAAGAGGGGAUCAAGGAUAAAUGAAGUGGUAUGGGUGGGCCCUCACCCAACAGGGCUGGUGUCCUUCUAAGAAGAAGAGGUUAGGACAUAACGAAGCCUUAGGGCCUGCCUUGCAGGGGCCAGGGAGGAGGUGGCCAUCUGCAAGCUGAGGAGAGGGGGCUCAGAGGGUUAUACUGCAUCUCUUUACUGCGACUCGCUGAGGACUUUGGAGAAUGUCUCCAGUCUCUGACACAGAAACGCGCUUCAUCCUGAACAAAGGCCAUCUCCAGCCCCUCCUCACCCACCCACCCCUCUGCAGCAGGGGACUCAGCUCUCCAAGAGGGCAGGAGCCCUCCCUGUCAAGUGGUCCUGGCUGGAAUUAUCUAGUGAAGCUUUGCUUCAUUAUAGAUAUUAUUGUCAAGCCAAAGAAAAAAAAUGAAAUGGCUCUAAAUUGGAAAUCAUAUUAAUUAAAACAAUCAUUACUGUUGUCUCCAGGACCAAAAUGGGGUUUUUAGGUAAGAUUGUGUUUUUCCCCUCUGGAUAAAAGAAGAAUUUUUUUUUCUUUUCAUUUUUGAGCCUCAAUAAACAGAAAAAAGAGCAGCAUACUUUUGAAGAGGGUUGGAAAAUAAAAAAAAUAAAAUAAAAAAGAAUGAUAAUUCAUUAUUCAGUAAUCAACUUCAACUGCAAAACCAGCAGAUUGUGCAGAGAGCACAGGGCUGUGGGGAAAGGCAGAGGCAGACCCUGCCCAGCUCAUAUCCUCUGGAGUGAAUCAUCUCCACAGAGACCUUAUUAAGAGGAGAAAGAUGGGGAACUAGCAUGGGGGAACCUCUGUUUGCAGCCUCUACCUUUGUACAGCACAUUAACAUGCACAGUCAUUGUUUCUGGGCCUGCACUCCCUACUCUCCAAGCCCCACUCCCAGAUUAAAAAUUACUAUAUACUCAUCUGCCUUAAGGUUCCAGAACAGAUCCUCUCUUCUGGGACCUCUGAGUACAGAGAGAAACAACAUCUUUGCAAGAGGACAAACCUGUGAUGCAGCCUCUAUUUGUUGGUCUGCUCCUUCUCUGUGCUGUCAUGAUAGGAAGAAUUUGAGGAUGGUCCCUGAGAGCCCCCUCCAGAGUGUAUGAACACCUUCUCCCCGUCAUCAUCCAGGAGACUUAAAUCCAGGUGCUACUCUGAAGGGCUUUUGUAAAUGCAAUCAAUAUGCCAAAUGGUGACGUGGAGGAGAGUAUCCUGGUUGAGCCUCACCUAAUCAGGUGGACCCUGAAAUGAGACUGGGCUUUUCCUGAAGAUUUGGCAGUGAAGGGGACUUGACCUCAGGGAAGAUGUCCAUGGCUGGCAUUGAGGAUGGAGAGUGUCAUGGUUUAGAUAUGAGGUGUCUCCCUAAAGCUCAUGUGUGAGAAAAUGGGAGAAUUUUCUGAGGUGAAAUAAUUGAGUUGUGAAAGUCUGAACCUAAACAGUGCAUUAAUCCACCAAAAGGGAUCAACUGGGCAGUAACUAAGUAAGCAGGGUGUGGCUGGAGGUGCAGGGUCACCGGGGAGUGACUUUGGGGUUUAUGUUUUGUCCCUGGUGAGUGGAGCUCUCUUUCUCUGCUUCAUGAUGGCCAUGUCCUGAGCUGCUUUCCUGUUAGAGUUUGGAUGUGAGGUAUCCCCCAAAAGCUCAUGUGUGAGACAAUGCAAGACCGUUCUGAGGAACAAUGACUGGGUUGUGAGGGUCUUAAGCAAAUCAGUGAGUUAAUUCCCUGAUAGGGAUUAACUGAGCUGUGACUGAAGUGGUGGGUGUGGCUGGAGGAGGUGGGAAUCGGGAGUGGCUUUGGAAUAUAUAUGUGUAUGUAUCUGGCAAGUGGACAACUCUCCCUGCUUCCUGAUCACCGUGAUGUGAGUUGCUUCCCUCUGCCACACACUCCACCAUGAUGGUCAGCCUCAUGGUGCGCCGUGAGAAAUGGAGCCAGCCUUCUAUGAACUAAGACCUCUGAAACUGUGAGCCCUCAAAUAAACUUUCCCUCCUCUAUAGUUGUUCUGGUCAGAUCCUUUAGUCAUAGCAGCAAAAAAGCUGACUAAAACAUUCCCUCUACCUUGCCCUUCUGCCACGAGAUUCUGCUUUACUUUGGGCCCAGAGCUUGGGAGUCAGCCCACCAUGGACUAAACCUCUGAAACUGUGAGCCAAAAUAGACUUUUCCUCCUCCACUUUGUUCUUGUCAGGUGUCCUGGUCACACUGAAACAGCUGACUUAAGCAAGAGGGUCAUGUGAUAAGGAAUGUGGAUGACUUCUGGGGUCUGAUAGCAGCCCCCUGUGAUAGCCAAGAAGGAAAAAAGGACCUCAGUCCUAUAAGCACCAAAGAACUGAAUUCUGCCACAACCAUAUGAUCUUGGAAGAAGACCCUGCAUUCCAGAGGAGAAAAAAGAUUAAUUUGGCCUUGGAUGACCCUGGGCAGAGAACCUAGCUAUAACAUGCUUGGACUUUGGACCCACCAAACUGUGAGCAAGUAAGUAAAUCUCUUUUAAGCCAUUAAAUGUGUGGUAUUUGCUAUGCUGCAAUAGUAAACUAAUAGCUUUCAUGGAUCCUACAGAAUUCUGCUGACAGAGCUGGGCACUUACAUAAUCUGCUUUGCAAAAUGUUUCCAGGUGUGCAGUUACAUUCAGGCUUCUUGAGAUUCAGAGCCCCUCAAAGGCAGGGAUGAUGGGUACCUCCCCUGUGUGAGAGAGUAUGGCGGUGGUUAAGAGCACUGAAGUCAAACAGUAUCUGUUAGACUCAGAGCCUUAAAAUGUCAACCAUUUUGCCAUAUCAAGACAAAACAGUUUUGCUAUUUCUAAGAAAAGGCUAAUGAUGAGAUCGAGAUUAUUAUGAGGAUUAAAUGAGACGAUCUAUAUAGACCAGUACCAUGCUCUCACAUAAAACAUGAUGAAUAACUUUAUGCAAAUCAUUGCUUAUUUUCAACCACUAAACAGACGGAGAAGCUAUUUUAUGCCUGAGUAGGUGCUAGGCUAGGUGCUAGCACUACCCAACCCUGGCUUUUAAGUACCUUGAAAUCAAUCUAGUCCCCAGCUGUUUGGGGGCAUGUUCUCUUCAAAGAAGGAGUUCUACAUUUGGAGGGUGAGUAGCACAGGGAGUGGGCUGUAAGUGGGCUGAGUCUAGGUUCCCCAGCAGGUACAUUGGAGGGUCCAGGAGCUCUUUUACGAUCCCAAGCAUGUCCUGGAAUCUUGUACCACAAAAGCAGAGCCAGGAUGAAGAAGCACGUCCAGCCUUGUUUGAUGUGGGAAUCAUGGGAAGUCCUUAUGACAAUGCAGACCCAGGGCAGCAGAGGGGUGCUUGCUGCACAUUUCAUAUGCACCCCUCACUCUGACUCUGUCCAGUGAUCUAUUGCUGUGUAACAAAACUACCCCCAAACUCAGAGCCUCAAAACAUCAACCGUUUUGUUAUAUCUCAAGAUUUUGUUGGGUAUUUGGGAAUUGGGGCAGGGCUUGACUAGACAGUUCUUCUGCUCUGUGUGGGGCUGACUGAGGUCCCUGAGGGACAUCUAACCAGCAGAUGAACUGGUCUGGAAGAGUCCAUGGUGGCUUUACUUCAUAGUUUGUUACUUUUCUAGGGAUGCAAACCAAGACUGGCAGAGUAUCCUAGGAGACAGGGUGGGGAAACUGCCACUUACGCAAGGCCUAGGCCCCCAAACUGGCUUGAUGCCACUUGUAUUUUAUAGGACAAAGCAAAGAUAGAGUCAAGGGGAAAGGACAGACCCAGACCUACCUCUCAGUGAGAAGAAUGUAGAAAAGGCAGGUUUCAUCCCCCACAGACUGAAGCAGGGUCAGGAAACACUGUUUGCUACAGAGUGUUAAAUAACUAAGGCCUACAGUCUGAACAUAGGUCAAUAAAAGUUUUUUUUUGUUUUGUUUUUGUUUUUUUUGUAAAAGACCAGAUAGUAAAUAUCCUAAACUUUGUGAGCCACAUAUAAUCUUCGUUACAUAUUCUUUUUUUUUUAAACUUACAAUCCACCACUACAAAAUUAUAAAAACCAUUCUUAAUGUCCAGGCUGUAGCCAGAUAUGGCCCAUGGACUGUAUGUAGUUUGCCAACUCUUGUUCUAGAAUCAUCUUCCAUGCCACAGAUCCUGGCCAAACUCAGUAUCAUGACAGCUUCUGCCCAUUGUAACAGUGACACUGAAAAUCUUGGAGCUGAAAAGGACUUUGGAAGUCACUUACUCCAUCUGUCCUAAAGGUGUAGAAACUGAGGUUCAGAGAGAUUAAGGGAUGUGGCAGAAGUGCCAUAGCUAAUUAAAGGUGGACCCGCAGAGACUCCCAUGCUCCUCUGUCCUAAUCCAUUGUUUUUCCCAGUGCAACAGACUACAUUUCAAAAUGCCAUUUUUCUAGUCAGCAGAAAUAGCAAAUAUCUAGGAGGAUGGGUUAGACAUAGCAGCAAUGAAAUAUGCUUGGACCCUGGGGACCUUGGAACAUGUUCCCCCGGCUGGCUGUGGGCCAGGUUAUAAGUAGAGGCCAGUUUUGCUGCAGCACUGCUUGGCCGGUCUCUGGUUACUGGCUGAAAAAACAGUCAUCUGUCACUCCCAUGGGAUGAUCUCUGAUGAAGAUGCAGAACACGUAAGAAAGAAAAGGCAGGUGAGGAGGGGUUACACAUGGACCUGCAGCAGGUGGACUUUGUGGGGCCAGAGCUUCUGGCUGGAGGGAAGCAUCAGGACCACCAGUCAUUUCCUUAGUGGGAGGUGCUGUCCAGAGGAGGGCCUCACCUUGCUGAGGUCCUCAGGAAGCCUUUUAUUAUCAGCAGUCGCUUUCUUGCAUCUCCACACCCCUGUGUGCUGUCUCUUAUUCAGACAUCCUCAGGCCUGCAAGACUUUUUAGAAAUCUGAAACAUCAUCUUCCAGAGUUUUCCCUCAGCUUCCCAGGGAUAUGAAGGCACUUGUUCCAGUCUCUCUCUCUCUCUCUCUCUCUCUCUCUCUCUCUCUCUCUCUCUCUCUCUCUCUCUCUCUCUCUGUUUUUAUUGUAUGUAAAUAAUAUAAAUAAUCUGACCCCAAGUCACCUAGUGAGCUUGCUGCAAGUUCCAUUCCUCUUAUAUAUCUCUUUUCUCGUAGGCAUUAUCCAAUUGUAUUAUAGUUAUUUGUUUCUAUAUCUGUUUCCUUAUUAGACUGGAGGGCAACUAAUGGCAAGAAUAUGCUUUUAUUUUUAUUUUUCAGUCUCCACAGCCCCCACUACAAAGUCCAUUGUAGAAUAGGUGUUCAAAUAAGUGUUUGUGAAUGAGGACGUGUGAGAAUUCAUGAAAGGGAGUCCAUUGGCAGUGGUCUGUCUGCAUUCGUCCUGGGAGAGGGUGCCAUUUUCUUCAUUACUGGCUCUGAAGAACUGGAAUCAGUUGAAAUAGUCACUGCCAGGAGCUUCUGAAAUAUUCUCCUUUGGGACUUAAAUAGUGGUACCCUUCUUUAAGGAGUUGAUGAGACAGGAUUUUGUUUAGGUCUCUUGCAAGGUCUCUUUUAAACUGUGGUUUGGACGUCUUCCACCCCCCUUCCCCAGAAUCCUAGACACUGGGCUUCUGGACUGACCAUAUGUUCUGGCUCUUUACAAAGGGAAACACACAAGGUCAACAGUUGGCUUUUGAUAAUUUGGUUUAUGAAACAUUCGAGAAUCUUUGCUUAAUAUAUAAUUCAUACUUUAGAGGAAUAUAAUUAUGCACUCCGGCCGGAGUUCUCUUGGAUGAGCCUUGGCAGUCCCAGAUACUCUUCAUAUGGCGGUUUUUGAUUCACAGUAACGAGACACUGGCUGCUCAUAAUCCCUUUCCACAUAUCAAUUUUAUUUUUUACAUCAAUUCCUGCCUUUUGCCCACAUAAUGCAAGCUUUUAGUAAAUCCAUUCUGACCUUUUUGCAAUGGCAGUGCAGAAGAGGAUGACAUUAUUGGUUUUCCAACAGUUUUGCCCAGUUGUUGGAUGCUGACAUGAAUUCUAGACUGUUGGGCAGGUGAGCUUCCCAGGCAAAGGAAAGAUGCUUGUCUUGUCUCUUUACAGGAAAAAGGCAUAUUGAGUGAUUUGGUGCACCCCUUCACAGCUGCCCAUCAUAUAGCUCUGUUGCAGCAGCGGUUUUGCUGAUAAAGUUAAAAAUAGCCAAUUGGAGGGAGAGUGUGGGCUUGCAUGGUAUUAGACUAUGCAGAUAGAUUUUAAAUUCUGUGGACCUGGUUAAACUUUAACCUUCUCUUGCUUAUUGGCUUCUAUGUGAGUAUGGACCAUUCAGCAGGGAGCAUGGGUCACACAGGGGAGGAGAGCUCAAGAGCUGGGCAAGACUGCAUUUUUUAUUUACAAGGCAGCCUUGUUGGUAAUUCUAUAGUUUUUCUAGUUUUAGAUCUAGUCUAGGAUAGAGAGGUGGAAGUGGGCAAUGCUUAGAAGGACAUUGAAUGAGUUGGUGUGGCUGCAUUUUAGCAAAAGUUAUGGCUGUAGAAAUGCACCCACUGAAGACAAAUAAACUAAUGACUACUCACGCAGGACCUGGAGCAGAGACAAAAAGCCUGGAAUACAGAGAAAUCAUUUUGAUUUUCUGCCACACUGGAUCUCCUGUUCCAAUUGCAGGCAUAUUCCUUUCUGGCUUUGAACCUCAGUGUCCUUCUCCGUAGGUUGGGGAUAAUACAGCACUCUGCUUGGAGCCUCCCAGGUCAUUUAGCUCUGGCAAAUACUCCUAGCCUGUAGAAAUGAAGGCUGGCUUCAGGCAGAAUUGUUCCUCAUGCCUCAAUCCUGUUCAACACCCUGGGAGGUCCACUGCCUUUUCCAUCUCUGGAAAGGGAGAUGUGGCCAGUCCUGAGAUCCGCCCUUUCACCCCAUGUUUUGAAUAUGUCCCCCAGAAUUCAUGUGUUGGAGACUUAAUCCCCAGGGUUAGUGCUGGACGGGGGUCUAAUGGAGGUGUUGGGGUCCUAAGAGCUCUACCUUCGUGAACAGAUUAAUGCCAUUAUGCAAAGGGAUCAUGAGAGCGGGUUCACUCUCUUGGGCUGUUGUCCUCCUGCCUUCUUCCACAUGAUAAACGUGAUGGAGGCUGUCACCAGAUGCCAGUACCUUGACCAUGGGCUUCAUGGCUUCCAGAACCAUGAGAAAAUAAUCAGUGUUAAUGAUAAGCUAUGCAGUCUCUGGUGUUCUGUUAUUAGCAGCACAACAAGACUAAGACAUCUCCCACUGCCGGGUGAGGAGUGGACGUUGAAGUGGACCCCGGACCCCCAAUGGGGAACUGCGAUGGGGGUACCUGAGUGGUAGUCAGUACCUAUAUUUUAUUCAUGGACUCAAAUAAAUGAUAAACUCAUACCCCUCCACAAACUACCCCAGGGAUUGACUGGGUUGUGUUGUAGGAAACAUCAAGGAACAGCUAAGAUGCUAGUGUUUGAAGACUUUCUCCCCGACCCUCCCCAAGUUCAGGAUUGUUGUUUCCAUCCAGGAAAAAAGUCUCUCUUGUCCUCUGUUGUAGGUGAGAAGCAGCUUCUUUGAUGAAAGAAAGGCAUUCUCAGUGAAAUUUCCUCCAGGGAGCCCCAGACAUCUCCACCCUAGACAUGAGCACCACAGAUGAAAUGUGGACCCGGACCACAGAGGCACUGUGUUGUUCAAGGGCACUGCCCUAAACCCGUGAAAAUUCUUGGAGGCAGUGACAGGUAGAUGUUGAGACAGGAGAGAUGAAGGAGGUGGAGGAGGCAGGGCAGGGGAGUCUUGCAAGAGUCAGAAACUAUCCACAGUGAAACUCUAGAUCGGGGCAGACUGCCGGCUGCUUCUGUCUGGUUUGCAAGCUAUGAAUGGUUUUUGUAUUUUUAAAUGGUUGAAAAAAAAAGAAAAAAAAAAUAUUUUGUGCCUUGUGAAAAUUAUAUAAAAUUUCAAAUGUCAGGGUCCAUAAAUAAAGUUUUGUUGGAGCACGGCCCCGCCCGCUGGUUAUUGUCUAUGAGUCCCUGCGCUACCAUGGCAGGGUUGAGCAAUUGCAACAGGGACCCACAAAGCUAAAAAUACUCGCCAUCUGCCCUUUCCUGGCAGAUUUAUAAUAUGCUGACCCCUGCUCUGGACAGUAUCUUAAACAGGGGUAUGUAAAUUCGGUUAAAACUUUCCCCAGCAAGAAGCACUUAGCAAUCAUUUGUUACUGCAUCUCUUUUCUGGCGCAAGGGCCACGGCUGCAAAGGCAGGUGGAGAGAGACCUCCCCUGUUAUGCCUCUCGCUCUGAUCAGCCCCUCAGCCACCUGCACGACUCCUUACACCCCUUAUUGCUCCCUUUGAAAGCCAGCCUACUGGUUGAACUCAAUGUACAUGCGGUUUCAUUUGAGCAAUCAUAUGCGGAUUACAUCCAAGUUUCUGAAAUACCACAGAAAAAGUUAUUUAUGGAAAUAUGUGUGAAAUGUGUUACAAUGAUUUCCAUAUCUUACAAAUGAUAGGCACAGCACCGCCAUAUUUGAAAAACCGAAGGGGUAUUAAUCACUGUGUGAUAUGCAGUGUUAUUAAACUUCAUGGUAUUGAAGGUCCCAUCACAGGGUGUAGGUAAUCUGGCUACUUAAUUACACCUAUGGAAUACUGGCUGCAUGGCUGCGGUGAGCACUACAGUAUUUGCCACCCCUCUGUAGCUCAUGACAUGUAUUAGGAAUUCACAGAUGCGUGUUUUCCCCUUGGCAUUUUUUACCCUGUUAGCACUUGCAAAGUGACUGUUGGACAAGAAACUAACAUUAGCCAGCCUAGAAUUGUUUUUAUUUCCACCACUUUCCACCAACCAGAUCUUCCUUUAAUUAGGUUCCUGUGUGAACUAACCAUUUUAAAAAUGUGUAUGUGCAUAUAUAUGGGAUUUUUUUUUUUUUUUGGCAGUUUGCUUUACUUCUAAGUGGCUGAAUCCUUAUAUAUUCCCCAAGGAACUUGUUACAUAACCCAGAGACAGGUUUUUAACUCAGGAGAAUCUAGUGCAGUUGGAAGGACAGGAAUAUAUUGAAAGAGAGCUAAAGCAAUAAAAUAGUUAUAAGAUUGCCUCAUGAAGAAGGUUCCUGGGAGUGCGGGGAAGGGCCUGGGGCUUAGAUUUGGCCACUGAGAGGUGGAGAGACAGAUGAGCCGUGGUGGAAGGUAGGAUUCUGGAAGGGGCAGAGGCGAAGGUAUUUUUUUUUUUUUCCUGAAAGUCUUCUUGAGAAAGGAAGAUGGGGACAGGUUCAAGUUCAGAAAUAAAGCAGCAAAUUAAUUUGGAAAGAACGUGGAUGGAGAAAAGGAGGCUGUGGGGGUAGCAGUGAUGUGAGGGGGAGCGUGAGCUCGUGAGGAACAGGGGGAUCUGGUUCCAGGAGCCAUUGUGAACGGGAGCAUGUGCAAGGAGGUGGGUGGGUGGCAGAGAGGAGCCUGCGAAGGAGAAGCUAAGUGAAGGCGAGACAUGGCGCUGGGCUUGCCCGCGCCUGCUACGUGGGUGUUGGGAAGGAGAGAAAAUAGCAGGACGGGGCAACGGGGAAGGCAUUAAUUGCAUGCCACCUGUUUCUGUAACCCGACCAUAAGUACCAUGUCCCCAUCAGGCUUUUUAAUGGACCAUUGAGGUGAACCUUGUGGCUCGGUGCCCGCCAGGAGUGACGGUAUUGAGGCGGACAGCCCUGGGGCUCUGCUUCUCCCCUGCAGUUCAUCAUGUCUGAAUUAAAAAGGGAAUUGUUUGGACAAGCCUGUUAAGUGAAUGUUUUUCCUGCAUUAGUGGGAGAGCUUAAGGAGCUCCCAUUGGAUGGAGCCAGGAUCUGAACUACCCACAGCUGUGCUGGGGGAUAUUUAUGUACCGACAUUCACAUCGCCUCUCUCCUGGGCCAUUUUGGCCUCCUGUUCAGAUUGAGCCAAGGUAUCCAUCCAAACCUCUGCCCAGACUGAACUCGCCCUGAGUCCCUCUCCUAAAUUGUCCAAAAUGUUUAAGGCCUAGAUGAGCACUCCAAUAUGGUUGUUUCAGUGAGACUCUGAGUGAGCAUGCGUUCACUUAGGGGUGUGUGUGUGUGUGUGUGUGUGUGUGUGCACGCGCACGCGCACAUGCACAAGUCAGGCAAUGAAGGGAGAUGAGCUCUGGUUUUAGAGACUCUCCUAGCAGCAAUUGACAUGGAAAGAGUUCAAGAAAAUAUCAUAUAUGCAUUUUUUAAAUUUUUUUUUGCUUCUUUCUAUAGGAGUUAUAGGAAGUCAUAGGAAUUCCAGCUUCUGGGACGUUCCCAGUUGCCCCAUCUCUAGUUUGUUUCCAGCAGAAAGUUCCAGGAGAAGCCAAAAAAGAAGUCAGAACCAUCUAAGCUUAUAUUUCAGAGGGAAAGAAGUCAAGUCUUAAAUCCUCUGGGGGUCUGUACACUGGGAAGGGAGGGAAGCUAUUGGGGAAGGAGGUGAACCCCGGGGCGGUGGGGGGGAGAGGGGGCAGCACUGGGGUUCUUCUCUGCCUGCAAGGCUGCCUUGCCAGAGGCACCUGCGCACCUCAGCAGCAGAAGGCCUGGCUGGAGCUUGGAGAGGAGCAGGCUCUGCCAGUAGAGAAGGUAGGGCUGAGAAGUCUGUGCUGUGGCCAAAAGCAUUCCUGGGUCCUGCCUGCCCCAUUAACUCUGCCGAGGGAGGCCUCCGUCUCAGCCAGUGCAGGUGUGGACACUCAAGUCAUUGCUUGGAAAAUUGGGCCCUGGAGGCAGGAGCUGCCAGCUGCUCCGUGAUGGGCUCUGCCGCACUCCAACCGGGCUGUGCCCAGCCUCUCUUCCUGGCUCCCCUUUCCCGGCAGUGCACCCAGCUCCCCACUGCAGCCCCUCUCCAGUCCUCGCAGUUUCCCAUGUAAUUUGCUUGUAACAAGCCUCAUAAAGUUUGACUGUGCUUGCUGGGACUGCGGACCAGACGGCCGAGCCGAGUGUGCCCGUGUUUCUGGCAGUGGAGCUCCAGGGGUUCGUGCACGGCCCAGAGGAGCUGCCUGCCCAGGCUUUUCAGGAACGGGGGGCCAUUUGACAACCUUUGGACUUUCGAAGUGGCAAGCUUUGGGUGGGCUGCAGCGUCCAGUUGAAUUCUUAUGGCUGAUUAGUUCAGGUUUACAGGUCCAACCCCUCUUCCGUCUGCUCUCUGUCCUUGGACUUCUGAAUUAACGUAGAACAAAACAUGUAUUGUCGUCUCAUCCCCUGGGACUGUUGGGCCCAUACCUCUGCAGUCAGUCUCACCCUCCCGACCCCUCCCAGCUCCUUGCCCUGUCUUUGUCACAACCCUCUUCCUUCUUUUCCAGGACUCCUUGCCCCCUGAUCUCCACCCCACCCCACACAUCCUCUGCAUUUUUCUGAACCUCUGCCAUAUGCCUUAUUGGCUUGGCAUCUCAGUACAUGGGCAGAUGGACAGAGACUAAAGCAACAGAGUAGGCAAAUUCCCAAGGUGAACUAAAAAGCUUUGCUCUGGAUUCUUCCAGCCCACCCAAGGCACUUAUCAUUUUAACAAAUGUUUGCAGCACCAUUAUGUACAGAUACUAUUUUAAACACCGGGGCUCUCUGUACUGUGUGCCCUGGGCUCUGAGUUACCGUGACCAUUAUUACUUAUAUUAACACUUAUUUUUCAGAUAGUACCAUUAUUAAUAACUACAUCUGCAGGCUCAUUAAAUAACUCGCCAUAUACUACACAUUCAAAUAAGUAUCUUCCAUAUGUCAGUCAUUAUGCUAAGCAAUUGGGGCUAUAAGGUCCCCUAGGGCUUACAGAAAUCUCUGGAACAGCCAGGCCCAAAGAUGUCCAUUGGCUAGCCUAAGACUGAGAACUGAUGAACAGGCAGCUCAAACUUUUUCAGUUAGUGCUAAUCUUUCUUCAGCAUGGUGUCUCAAACUUGGCUAUACUUUGGAAUCACCUGGGAAAGUAAGAUAUAUUGAUAUCUGGGUCCCUAUUCCAUAGGUUCUGAUGUCACAGAUAUGGGUAUAAACAAUGAUCAAGACUUCUUAAAGAUUCCUCAAGAAGCCAGGUGCAGUGGCAAAUGCCUGCAAUCCCAGCAACUCAGGAGGCUGAGGCAGGAGGAUUACAGGUUUGAGGCCAGACUCAGAAACUUAGCAAGGCCCUAAACAAUUUAAAAAGACCUGUAUUAAAAUUUAAAAAAUAUUUUUAUAAAACAGCUGAGGGUAUGAAUCAGUGGUUAAGAGCACCUGGGUUCAAUCCCCAGUACAAAAAAGAGUUCCACAAGUGAUUCUAAUAUGCAGAAUGAGCCUCUGUCCAGAGCACUUGUAAACUGUGCUGCCUUGCAUUACAUUCUGCUGUUUUCGUGCUUGCUGCCCACAAAUGGACCUUGCUUCCUCUGUAAGACUAUAAACAACUUGGGCACUCAAAUGUGCCUCUUACAUUUUCUAUGUGGCCCCCAAACAGCACAAUGCCGAAUGCCCCAAGAAUAGACAUCAAAUACUCAUUGGAGAACUACAAAUUGCAGGGUGUAAUAACUAACAAGUAUGUGUGUGAGGGGGGAUGAUUCAACAAAGACCUGCGAAGGACUUCCCAGCCCCUCAAACAAAGGCAGUGGGCCUGAGGCACUGUCUCCGACAACUUGGACAGACCCCUCACAGCCAAAUGCCUCUCCUAGAAACAUCAAAUGUGCUCCUUUACUUGCUCUCCCUCUUAAUUUUCCCCAUUUUUUUUAAUCUCCCACAGGAUUCUUUUUCUAAGGAAACCUCUCUCUGCAUUUAAAACUGUCUAUUUUGCAAACUGUAAACAGGUGCUACUUUGCUUCCCAGAACCCUCCUCACCUUUCAAAGCUAAAACCUAGAAGCCAGCCUUCACCACCAGCCCAGUCAGGAGCCAGUCCUUCUGCCCCUCCACUGUUGCCCAUGUCGGGUCUGAAGAGCUCCAUAUAGUCGAAGCACAGUUAUUAGCAGAUCUUGGGUCCUUUACAGGAAGGUGGCCAAGCCCGUUGCUCCUCAUACAUGUGGGUGUGGGAGUGGGAUUAUAGCAUUUAAUCCAAAUAAGAUUCAUCUGUCAGCCAAGUGUCUCACUCCAAAUAGCUUGGAUCCAGAAAAAUGUGAAGUACAAUGUUAGUUACUCCACCUACUAAGUGCAGAGUCAUGAAAAGAAUAGGAGGAGACAAGCAAGGGCAGGAGCUUUACUUUUGAGAAGCACUUGAAAGCAUCCAUCCAUCCAUCCAUCCAUCCAUCCAUCCAUCCUUCCACCCAUUUAUCUAACUGAUCAGUCAGUCAGAUUUAUUGUGCCCUUCUAAACAGGGGCUGGUGAUAGGAACUGAGCUGAAUAGGGCCUGACCUCUACCUUCCAGAGAUCCCAAUUUAAUGGGGGAGAAAGUAUGUACAUAAAUGGGUACAUCCAUGAGUUAAGUGCUGUGAUGGAGCUCAGAGGAAACUUCCUACCCAGUUUGAGGGGUGGGAGCAGGAUGGCUGGGAGGGCUUGCAAACUCCAAAAAAACUCAAGGCCCUUCAGCAAACAGAACCCCCUGGACUCUCCAGAGGCACCUGUAAUGAUGUUUAAAAAGUAAACAAAGUGAGAUGAAGGAAGUGAGGUGAGAUUAGAUUUGAAAGCGGCAAGUGUAGGCCAGGUCCAUGGGUGCAGGGGACAGUGUUCAGCCCUACCACUGGGAGCUCACAGAGCGCCGUGGAUGCUGUGAGCACUGGGUGCAGGGCAUGAGAAGGGCAGGACAGGGGCAUAUCAGAAAAGACCUCAGGAGACAGGGAGGUGAGUGGGGGGGUUGGCUUGGGUCUGAUUACUUCCCCAGCCCUGGGCUCUGGGAAGUGACUGGCCACCUCUGUCACUUCUGCCACUAAGCAUUUCACAAGUAACUGCCCAGGCACCGAGCAAUUGUCAGAUGGCAAUGCCAUCAUCUCCUGUGAAGGUGCUCUCUGGUUGAGGCUUCACAGACACUCCCCAUUGCAUGGAGCUUGUCUGAGAUAAGAGAAAUUAUUAGCAAUUCUUGUUGGUGUUACAUGCUCUUUUGAGAACUACAGGUACAGACCCACAGGUGCAUUUUUAAAUGAUAAGGACUCCCUAAGAAAAAAUAAAACCCCCAUUCCCAAUGACACCUGCCAUAGAGGAUAUCAGAUUAGGUUUAGGAUACUAUAUGUCCUAUAUCUUUGUGUGUGUGUGUGUGUGUGUGUGUGUGAGAGAGAGAGAGAGAGAGAGAGAGAGAGAGAGAGAGAGAGAGAGAGAGAGAGAGAGAUAUUAGGGAUUAAACGCAGGGCCCAAUACACUGGUCAGGUGCUCUACCACUGAGCUACAUACACCCCUAGUCCUUUUUAUAUUUUCAUUUUGAGACAGGGUCUUGCCAAGUUGCCCAGGCUGGCCUUGAACUUGCCAUCCUCCUGCCUUGGCCUCCCAAGAAGCUGGUAUUAUAGGCGUGUGACACCACACCCAGCUCUAUAUCUUUCUUUGUUAAAGUUCCAUUUAGAAUCUGGGUCAGUUGUUCUCCAUCUGCCCCUGAAGCUCCAACAAGCCAUUUACUCCCCAAUCUCUGCUUAGCAGAAUGAAUGCAAAAAUCAUUCCAGGGUUAAGGCCAGAAGGAGCCCACUGAAUAUACCUUUGUUUGCUUUUUAAACAUCAUUACAGGUGCCUCUGGAGAUUCCGGGGUGUUCUGUCUGCUGACAGACCUCAAGUGCUCUGGAAAGCUCACUUGGCAGAAGCCCUGGGGGAAUUCUGUGGCCCACCCGGGUUAGGCAUUGCUCUUUCCCUUCUGGGUGUUUCUUUUUAAUGAGAGUAUCUGUUGAGCUGUUGGGGAAAGGAGAAAGUUUAUUCCUGUUCAUUCUGGGCAAUUUUCUGUUGACCUGAUUUUUGCCAAAUACAAUGGAGAAUUCUGUCGCCAAUGCAAGAUGAUCUUUUUGAUUGUAGGAGAAGUGGCCAAGGAGGUGAGAAGAUCCAAGUGCGUGGAAGGUGGCAGGGACUUUCCAGACUCCCUCCUCAUGACCACAGGGAGGCAGGUAGAGGCAUCCCCUUUGCACAAAUGAGGAUAAAGAAACUCGGUGAUUUGAAUAAUCACAGAGGUGGGAAGUAGCAGAACUGGGUGCCAUGGGUCUGCACCAGGGCAGGCUCCUAAUUAAUAUCUGAGGAUUUGAAAUUCCAUCUGCAAAAUUAGCUGGAAGAAGAGCAGGCCUUCUCUGAUUAAUUUAGGAGAGUGAUUAAUGAGGGAUGUAAGGUUUGAUAAAAGGAAUAUUCAAUCAGAUUUGCAACUUGCAAAUCUCCCUUAUGGAAACCUUCCCUGAGGCGUGUCUUGUAAGCUGGGGGGACCAGGUGAAGGCAGCAGAGCAGGGCCUUUGUAUGGACUUUUGUUUGGGAAGCUGUGGCUUGAUAAGUUCACGUAAUGAAUGACUGACUGACCAGGGCAGGAACCCGGGCUCCUGGCACCUAAGUGAGAUGUCUUCACUCUACACUUGUGCUUUGCAAGCUUCGAAAUGCUUCAAUCAGUAGAGGUUUCUAGAUUCCACUCCACAAUCACUGAACCACCAUUUUGAAAACAGGACAUGGAAUCCAUAUUUUGAAGAGCAUCCUCACAGAAGGUGAUUUUCCCUGACAACAUCAACAUUGGUGAAUGGGGUGUGUGUGUGUGUGUGUCUUAGACUUUGAGGGUUGGAAGAGCCAAUUUUUCCUUAAUGUGGAAAUGAAACUUAACCCUAAGCACUCACUAGUCAACUGAUGUCUUCUAAUGUAAAACACAGUUCUGGAAGGAAAACUAGAACGCACCCCUGUUCUCCUGAAUGUCUAGCAAACUCACUGUGAGGAAUUUCUUCCUUGUAUCUAACUAUAGAUUUUCUUUAUUCCUUUCCCCCCCCCCCAUUUUCUUAUCUUUACUUGUAGAGAACAUGCGAUCACCAUCCCUUGGGUGUAAUUGAAAGAAAUUAUGUCUCUCUCUUCAGAAUCCUCUACUGCAGACUGAAUACUCUGUCCUCUCAGCAUCAGAAUUAUGAAAUAUUUUUAGACUGAGGCAGCCCUGAGCUAUAGACCCUGAGGACGACAUCACAGAGAUGUUCCAAAGAUAUACUUUUUUUCCAAUGUGACAUAUUUUGAAUAAAUAGUGUUAAAGAUUCACAUUGAUUUCACUUAAGAAUGGAAACAUAUAUUUUCAAUCUUCUUCUGUUGCACUACAUUUUACUAAAAGAAUUCCCCUAAUCCAGGGUUAGGAAGCAUAUAAAAAUGAAGACUAAUUUUAAAAAUCUCUGAUCAUAAUGCUACACUCUUUAUGCAAAUCAAUGAAAGCAAUCAAUUCAUUUUUACAGGUCACUCCAUCAAGAUUCGCAGUGGGAAAAGGUCGGCAGUCAGCCUUCCCCUUGACAGAGGGAAUCAGCAAAGGGAGGAAGGGGUCUUUUCCUAUCUGACCCUCAUUCCCACACACCCCACCCCCCAAAAAAAUCUUUAUUUAUUUUCCCAAAUUUCUGAGAAGUGAUUCCAGUUUAGACUUAGGAAGAUAAUUCAUGUGCAUAUUUUCUCUUGAUAAAACAGAUCACAGAAAUGUCCUGGGGUGGGGGUGAAAUGGUUUGGGUGAUAUGACAAGAUUCACAGAAAGGAGCAGAGGUCUCUGAGUACGGCUGGGUCACUUGGACAGGAUGCUUCUCUUCCUGGCACUUGGCCAAGAGACUGUCUUGGCUCCGUAGAGAAAUCAUUGCAUUUUUUAAAAAAAACAAAAGUUUGUUAAACUGGUGCAGUAGGACUUGAUUUAAUAUCCAGUCAAGUUCAAAAUUUUCCAUAUGGUCAAAAACAUGAAUCAAUAGUUGGUAUCUAUUUACUUUUGUUCUACUUUUUUAUUUUAUUUUAUUUUUGCAUUGUAGGAAAAAAAAUAGUAGUAUUUGGAAACAGCCAACAAAAAGAAAUAAAGUCAUCUGAGAAGGUGCUGAGACCAGCGUAUGUCCUAGCCCCAUGAAAGGACCUCGCACAAGACGGUGAAUCGGCAGAAAGAUCUGGAACGCAGUAGAGAUGGAAGUUCAGACAGGAACACGUGGGGCAGCACGUGGAUAGUGCCGUGGGCAGGACACACAUGCUUUAUGACCCAGAGAUGCCACUCUCUCCAGCACCAGCCAACUCUGUCUGGAAAGACCCUUUGGAUAUCCAUAAAUGCCAUGUACAAAGGAGAUUUUUUUGUUGUUGUUCCUAAAGGCUCAUUUCCUCUGGCGGCCAAUGAAUAAAAGGUACAAAGAAAAACAGCCAGCCAUGCCCGGGAAAGACAUCAGGGCCACACCUUCCCCUGGCCAGGAGAUGAGAGCAGGGAGGGAAGACAAGAGCACGCCAAGCCCUUUCCCUCGUGGCCAAAAACCAAAUGUGGUUUGCAGAUGCCUUGGCCAGCGACGGCCCCUGGCUGGGAACUGCCUGUGCUCCUGUCCCGCUCCCUCACACCGACUCCGAGGGGACCCAUGCAUGCUCUCUUUCUGCCCUGCUCUGGCCUGGGCACCGGCCCCCUAGGAGAGUCUAGCCCUCUUCCUCGGCCGAGCAGCUCAGAUGUGCCACCACCUGCCAAACCAGCCUUAUGAACGGAAGAUGCUCAGCGCCCCUGCAGCCCAGAAGUCCCCUUGAAAACCACCGUGAAACUCUCCAUGGAAAGAGCUGAGAGCUGAACCACUCAGAGGCAGUUUCUUCAAAAUAAGAUAUCAAUCAAAUUCAUCUUUUCCAAGCUGCCUGGAAUGCCAAAUUACGUGUGGGCAACAUAAGGACAGUCCUGGCUGCCUAAAUUGUGCACUGAUGAGAUACGGUCUGUGGUGUCUCCAGCGGACAUCAGCACAUGUUUUCACAGAAACACACUCAGAACAGGACGUUUCCCAUGGGCCCCCUUUUGUGGCCUUCCUGCUUUCCUAGGCCGGCUUCCCUCCCCCCCGCUGGUCUUGUUUGGGAGUUGACUUGCCCUCCUUGGGCAUGAUGACCAUGGGAUUUCAAUUUUCUCCCUGGUUUUAUACAAACCGAAGGGAUUGAGGUAUUGAUGGUGUCAGUGGUAGCUUGUGGUGACCUUCCCAGCCUUGUGAAGAUUUUCGAUGGUGUUCACAGUCUGGAGAAAUGUCAGUGGACAUUUGCUUAAGCCCAGAAGGACCCACACACGAAUCAUGGUUAGGAGGCCUCAUUUCUACAAGGAGACCCGGAUGCUAAGGGCUCUCCUUCAGAAGAGGGUCCCUCAUGCAGUUCCUCCUUCCAACCCAAUUGAGCAAGUGACAUGCCUGGUCACAGAACCACAAGCUCAGUCUGUCACUGACCUGAAGGUCAAGGGUCCAGAGAGGUAUUCUUCAUUUUCUUCAAGGUUAUCUGUUGGUACAAAAGGGACCCCACUGUACACGAGACUCACAAAGCAGCAGGACCACGUUCCACGAGGCCACUGAACUCUCACAAGACUGCAUGGUUCCGAGGAGAAGGCUGCCCCAGGGCUGUUCUGGAAGGCUGGGGUGGGGUUGGCCGAGAGGGAGGGAGACUGUGCGGUGGGGGGAUGUGCUGAGUGCAGUAGAAACCUGAGCUGCCUCUUGUGCUGAGUGGAGGGCUACUUUGCCAAUUUGGGUUUCCCCUUCAAGCCCCCAAGGUGAUGUGCGAGAUGCCACUCGCCCAGGCGUAGGCAAUGGCUGGACGGGGCUGGUGAAGUUACAGCUGGCCAUCUAGACACCGCCCGAGUAAAUACCUGCCCAGAACUUGGGAAGUGAAGCAUUUUCAAGAGAUGAAAAUGCCCACAUGUAAUGCCAAGGGCAAGGGCUCAAUCCUGGGGAAGCCAUUAGCUCUGCCCUUUCCCUCCCUGCCUUUGGGCUAACUCUGGGCCAAUGGUUCCAUGUGGGUCAUAAGAAACAUGAACAGGGACAUAAAUGGCUGAUGAUGAAUCUGCCACCAACAUUUUACAAAGCCACAGUUGAAUACUGGCCGUGGUGCUGGAAGUCUCAAGGGUUGUUUUUUUUUUUUUUUUGCUUGUUUUUGUUUUUAUAGAACACACCAUUGAAAUACACUGUUAGUGGGUGGUAUAGCACAGUGGCUGGGUGUAGGCGCCGGAAGCAAGUUGGCAACGUGAAGUCCUAGCGCUGCCUCUUACAUGCAUGAGACUUGGGAAGCAAGCUAUUUAAUUUCAUUGUGCCUCAGUUUUAUUUUUCCCUUGGAAAAACAAGGUUGAUGAUGAUGAUGGUACUUCCAUGGAUUUGUUGUGAGGAAUAAAUAAGAUUGAACAUACAAAAGAGUUAGAGGGCCUUGCUAGGAAUUGACCUUGGGACACACGUCAAGUCACCACUGGGAUGGUGGUCACCAAUGAGCCAGAAGGAGCCUCAAAGGCAUCUGGUCAGAUGCCACCACCACACAAAGAAGGAAGCUGGAUUCCUGAGAGGCAACGAUUCUUGCCAAAGGUCACCAGUAGCAUGGUGCUAGUGCUGUCCUCUCCUGACUCACAAAGGGAACGGUGGCACUUAGGUGUCAUCUUCCUCACUAAACACAAAUGUUGACAGGCGUCACCCUGAACUCUCCGUUCACGGUGUCACCUCCCCAAACUGAACAGCUGAAACAUUUUCCAGGCACCACAUAGAAAAGUCCCACAGGGGACCAUUCCCAGUGAGUCCCAGACAGAGGCGCUUGUGUAAUGAGACGAGGGAAGGGCACAAGGCUUGUGUCCCCACAGCCAGCUGAUGGAUGGGAGGCCCCUGUGCUAUGGCAAAGCCACUUCCCAUUACUAAUUUGAUGGUGUGUGAAAUGAGCCAUGUUUAUGAGCAGCCGAGGGAGUUCCUUCAGGGGAGCUGCCCCGUGUUCCGUGAGCCCAACUGUCCCAACAGGGUGUCAAGAUGGCUUCUGACCCUCUUUGCUGACUAAGAGCGGUGGCGACAGUGACACACAAUUUGCUGCAUUUCUCCUUUCUUGACAAAACCAGCCUGGUCUUUGGGAAAUAAU